rnacentral:rRNA from 1 species
AUUGAACGCUAGCGGGAUGCUUUACACAUGCAAGUCGAACGAGUGGCGGACGGGUGAGUAAUAUAUCGGAACGUGCCCAGUAGCGGGGGAUAACUACUCGAAAGAGUGGCUAACGCCGCAUACUAUUGGAGCGGGCGAUAUCGGAUUAGCUGGUUGGUGGGGUAAAGGCUCACCACGGCAACGAUCCUUAGCUGGUUUGAGAGGACGACCGGCCACACUGGGGCUGAGACACGGCCCAGACUCCUACGGUAGGCAGCAGUGGGGAAUUUUGGGCAAUGGGGGAAACCCUGAUCCAGCCAUCCCGCGUGUAUGAGAAGGCCUUCGGGUUGUAAAGUACUUUUGGCGGAGAAGCGGUAUCUGCAGAAUAAGCACCGGCUAACUACGUGCCAGCAGCCGCGGUAAUUC